GGGGUGGGACCGGACCACCGGAUACACAGAUUGGACCGUGUUUUUUUGGGUGGUGCCUUUUUUUUGGUACAAUUUCAUAUUUUGUUUUUUUCAGAGGUUUAAACGUUAACACGGGACGCAGAAAGGACGGUGCUGUCGGGGGGUGAACUUGCGGGGCUUCGCGUCUCGUCGAAACCUCUGGAACUGUCAGAAAAAAAAAUUGAUUGAGAGUUAAGGUGUGGCUGAGGGUUUUCUGUGAGGCUUCUGCGCUGAAAAAAUGUCACUAAACCGACUGUUUGUGUUCCGAGGCUCCUACAUCUACCGUGGCUUCACCGAUUUUGUCCAGUCAUUUUCAUUAAGGAAGAUAUUACAUAACAAAUGUAUUGCCAUCUUGAUGCGCGCACCUUUUUUUUUUUUUCCUUCUUUCCCCCCCUUGCCUAAAUCUCCCCCCGCAGUAGAUUAAUUGGACUAUUGCGCAGUUGAGAAGUAGUAAUUUCCACUCGCUUGCCAGGUCGUUUUGGUUUCAUAAGUCUGUGAAAUGUAACGGACGUGGCAACUUUACAGUAGCCAGCCCCGCUGAAUGCCACAGGCAAACUGGGCGUGGGGUGGAGGUGGAGGGGGGGGGAAAGAGAAACGGUCCGAACAGAGUGUAAUAAUCCUCAAAUCUGCCCCAAGCACGGCACAAAUUGCGCAUAUUUGUCACGGUGUGUCCGCACUGACAAGCGCCUCGGUGGAGCCGCCGGAUUGACCCGAACCAAAGUAAGUGCGACUGUCAAAUACAUUUUUGCAAACUUUUCUAGCGGAGGUGACAUUUAAAGGCUUACAGGAGAGGGCGUGCAGGAGGGUUACAUUCAACGCGUUUCAUCCCUUGUUUUUUUUUUGUUUUGUUUCAGUACAAAUUGAGCACUCAAGGUUGGUGUGUCGGUCGAUCGAGGCCUUGUAUAAAAAUCUUUAUUUUGGCACAGAAUAUACUGGGAUGGAGCGGGUGUGUCUCCACAGGGGGAAACGUUUGGUCGCUCAAUGAAUCUAAAUCCAGUUACAGGAAAAGAAGGAUAUGAGUUGCUCUGUAUUACAGUAGUGCUGCUUGACUUGUCAAAGAAUAUCGAGGAGUCAUUCCUCACUCUUCUGAUGCCUUUAUGGCACAAUAACUCGAUCAUAAUUGAGUGCACAGGACUGGCUGACCCUGUGUAGUCUAAUUAAGAUAAGCUUUAAGUCGAGAGGAAAGCAGAUAGAGUGAAUUCCUCAAGGCCCCACCCUUUGCAGCGCAACAUGGAUGUGGAGAGUUGCCCCCACCUCUUCUCUCUCUCCCUCCCUCUCUCCCCCUCCGCGUCAUUCAUUUCCCCUUUCAAGCUUGUCUUAUGCUGUUUUUUCCCCCCUCAGUAUCUCCAGGUGCCCACAGUAGAUCUUCUUGCCUUAUAACCAACUUCAGAUCGUGGCAUCAGGAUCUUCCUCCAGGACUCUGCAGAAGGGGCCUCACAGAUGGAGGGCCAGCAGUAAGAAGCGGUGGGCCUCUCAGCAGACCGGCUGGAAUGUGGACCAUAUGUAGCAGGCAUCCCAGGAAUGUAACUCGGCCUCGCUGAACUGACCAACCUAAAGACACAGUGAGCAGGAGCAGGAUGAGGAGGACAAAAUGAAGGUAGCGCGAGGAGGAUGGAAACGAAAGCUCGCGAGUCAGAAGAUGAGAACUCGAGGAAGCGCUCAAACAGAUGGAGAGCAAUGGACAGACUCAAAAAAUGCAAAGUACCACAAAUGGGUAGAUGCAUGCUCCAAAAAAUGUGGUACAAAUGAUUUAUUAGGAUGAAGUCUACAAAGUCAUCUUCAUCGGGAUACUGCAGACAGAAAAAUUUGUGGUUUGUAUAAAAUGGCUUCUCUUACAUUAAA